AGGGAAUCUUCCGCAAUGGACGAAAGUCUGACGGAGCAACGCCGCGUGAGUGAUGAAGGUUUUCGGAUCGUAAAGCUCUGUUGCCAGGGAAGAACGUCCGUUAGAGUAACUGCUAACGGAGUGACGGUACCUGAGAAGAAAGCCCCGGCUAACUACGUGCCAGCAGCCGCGGUAAUACGUAGGGGGCAAGCGUUGUCCGGAAUUAUUGGGCGUAAAGCGCGCGCAGGCGGCUGUUUAAGUCUGGUGUAUAAUCCUGGGGCUCAACUCCGGGUCGCACUGGAAACUGGACGGCUUGAGUGCAGAAGAGGAGAGUGGAAUUCCACGUGUAGCGGUGAAAUGCGUAGAGAUGUGGAGGAACACCAGUGGCGAAGGCGGCUUUCUGGUCUGUAACUGACGCUGAGGCGCGAAAGCGUGGGGAGCAAAC
rnacentral:rRNA from 1 species